rnacentral:rRNA from 1 species
CCUACGGGGGGCAGCAGUGGGGAAUAUUGGACAAUGGGGGCAACCCUGAUCCAGCCAUGCCGCGUGUGUGAAGAAGGCCCUCGGGUUGUAAAGCACUUUCAGUGAGGAAGAACGCCUGGUGGUUAAUACCCAUCAGGAAAGACAUCACUCACAGAAGAAGCACCGGCUAACUCCGUGCCAGCAGCCGCGGUAAUACGGAGGGUGCGAGCGUUAAUCGGAAUUACUGGGGCGUAAAGCGCGCGUAGGUGGCUUGAUAAGCCGGUUGUGAAAGCCCCGGGCUCAACCUGGGAACGGCAUCCGGAACUGUCAAGCUAGAGUGCAGGAGAGGAAGGUAGAAUUCCCGGUGUAGCGGUGAAAUGCGUAGAGAUCGGGAGGAAUACCAGUGGCGAAGGCGGCCUUCUGGACUGACACUGACACUGAGGUGCGAAAGCGUGGGUAGCAAACAGGAUUAGAUACCCUGGUAGUC